rnacentral:rRNA from 1 species
GAUGAACGCUAGCUACAGGCUUAACACAUGCAAGUCGCGGGGCAGCAUGGGGGUUGCUUGCAACUCCCGAUGGCGACCGGCGCACGGGUGAGUAACGCGUAUCCAACCUGCCCUUCACCACGGGAUAACCCGGCGAAAGUCGGACUAAUACCGUAUGUUGUCCAUUGACGGCAUCCGAUUUGGACGAAAGGCUUUGCGGUGAAGGAUGGGGAUGCGUCCGAUUAGCCAGACGGCGGGGUAACGGCCCACCGUGGCUACGAUCGGUAGGGGUUCUGAGAGGAAGGUCCCCCACACUGGAACUGAGACACGGUCCAGACUCCUACGGGAGGCAGCAGUGAGGAAUAUUGGUCAAUGGGCGUAAGCCUGAACCAGCCAAGUAGCGUGCAGGAUGACGGCCCUAUGGGUGGUAAACUGCUUUUAUGCGGGGAUAAAGUGGCCCACGUGUGGGCUUUUGCAGGUACCGCAUGAAUAAGGACCGGCUAAUUCCGUG